GACGAACGCUGGCGGCGUGCCUAACACAUGCAAGUCGAGCGAGUGAAUUUCCUUCGGGAGUGAAGCUAGCGGCGGACGGGUGAGUAACACGUGGGCAACCUGCCCCUCACUCUGGGAUAACUCCGGGAAACCGGGGCUAAUACCGGAUACGACCUGGUGCGACAUCGCACCGGGUGGAAAGAACUUCGGUGAGGGAUGGGCCCGCGGCCUAUCAGCUUGUUGGUGGGGUAACGGCCCACCAAGGCGACGACGGGUAGCCGGCCUGAGAGGGCGACCGGCCACACUGGGACUGAGACACGGCCCAGACUCCUACGGGAGGCAGCAGUGGGGAAUAUUGCGCAAUGGGCGAAAGCCUGACGCAGCGACGCAGCGUGAGGGACGAAGGCCUUCGGGUUGUAAACCUCUUUCAGCGGGGACGAAGCGAAAGUGACGGUACCCGCAGAAGAAGCACCGGCUAACUACGUGCCAGCCGCCGCAGUAACAC
rnacentral:rRNA from 1 species